CCUACGGGAGGCAGCAGUGGGGAAUAUUGCACAAUGGGGGAAACCCUGAUGCAGCGACGCCGCGUGAGUGAAGAAGUAUUUCGGUACGUAAAGCUCUAUCAGCAGGGAAGAAAAUGACGGUACCUGACUAAGAAGCCCCGGCUAACUACGUGCCAGCAGCCGCGGUAAUACGUAGGGGGCAAGCGUUAUCCGGAUUUACUGGAUGUAAAGGGAGCGUAGGCGGCAGCGCAAGUCUGGAGUGAAAUCCCAUGGCUUAACCAUGGAACUGCUUUGGAAACUGUGCAGCUGGAGUGUCGGAGAGGUAAUCGGAAUUCCUUGUGUAGCGGUGAAAGGCGUAGAUAGAAGGAAGAACACCAGUGGCGAAGGCGGAUUACUGGACGAUAACUGACGGUGAGGCGCGAAAGCGUGGGGAGCAAACAGGAUUAGAUACCCUGGUAGUC
rnacentral:rRNA from 1 species